GUCCACGCUGUAAACGAUGUGUGCUAGACGUUGGGGGUUAAGCCUCCGGUGUCGCAGCUAACGCGUUAAGCACACCGCCUGGGGAGUACGGCCGCAAGGUUAAAACUCAAAGGAAUUGACGGGGGCCCGCACAAGCGGUGGAGCAUGUGGUUCAAUUCGACGCAACGCGAAGAACCUUACCAGCUCUUGACAUGUCUCGUAUGGCCCUGGGCGACCGGGGCCUUCGGUUCGGCCGGCGAGAACACAGGUGCUGCAUGGCUGUCGU
rnacentral:rRNA from 1 species